GACGGCCUCGGAAGAGCGAUCCGAGAGCUGGCAGAACCCCUGUCUCCUGCGUGAGCGAUCGUGGGAGACACAGUUCUGUGCAACGGAUUCCGAAAAGACUUGGUGGGUUCGCCAAGAAGCUUUUAGCGCGGCGAAUUUGGUUGUCCCGAUGGUGGCAUCGCUUGGGAGGGACAGCGUCCUUCUCGCGACCUCAGCAGCCCCC
rnacentral:ncRNA from 2 species